GUUUAGCCCAGAUAGCAGUGAAAAGCUUUUUGAAAUCACGUUACAUUUUUUCUUGCAGGAAAAGAGCGACCUACGGAAGCUCCUUUUCUUGUUUAGAAAAAAGUAAACGAGAUGAAAAAACUUGCAACGAAUAGCUGGAUUUGCU
rnacentral:sRNA from 1 species